rnacentral:miRNA from 1 species
GGUUGAAUCCUCUGAGAAUCUUGUUAAAAUGCAGAAUCUGAUUCAGUACAUCUGGGACAGAGUUUCCGAAUUUCUAACAAGUUCCCAGGAGAUGCCAAC